UGAGAGCUCACCUCAUCAAAACCGAAUCUCAGCCUGCAGAAUUAAACAGUUUGCACUUAAUUUUUUUAAUCAUCUGAGCGUUACACUAAUUAACAAAUGCACAGUGUUGAUUACUGAGAAUAUUAUUUGGUACUUUGAUCGUUCAGCUGAUUUGCGCAUUGCUUGCUGUCUCCUUUUUCAUGUAAAUUCACGUAGAUAAACAUUAAUGAACGACUGAUAAAACAUUAAUGAAAUGUAAACACUUUAAGUUAAAAGAUUUAACUGAAAUUAAACACACCUGUAAUUUAAAGCACGGAACCAGUUUAUCCGGAAAUGGUCCGGUACGUUCUUCGUGUGACUAUUCAGUCGCUAUUUUAUAUGACAGAAUCUGUUAGCUGUGUUGUCGUGACCGUUAUUGAUUAAUGCACUACCCUUGAUAAUAAGACUAGUGUAUAAAGCAUUUAUGCACUGGCCUAACCUCUAACUUCCUUAUUAAACUGCAAAAUCCAGUGAUUUGGUAAUUUGACCGAACUGACGUCAAUCCACAGUAUGUGUUCCUAAGCAGGCAUUAGGCUUAUUGAAGACCUGCGGACACCGGCGCUCCUCUCGGCAGAGAAAAAGACAUCCAGGGGCAGUAUGGAGAUGUACGUGCGCCUUGUCUCGGGGUGCGCCACGCUCGCGAUUUACAUUACGGCUCGCUCCUUUGCACGCCACCAUCUUGCCGGAGACCCGGACAACAUUCUACAGGCCCGAUUUGCCUCCGAGCAGGAGAGACUGCUGACGUCAGAUGCAGAUACGAGACACCUUGAGGGCAAACAUUUACACCAGCGUGAGAGACGGUGCCUCUGUGAUGCUUCGUCGACCAGCUCUCCCGCGCAAUUUCAUCUGUAAGGACCCAACCCUGCUAUUAAUGCAGACAAACAAACAUCUUCCUGAGCAGGCUGACAAUACCAG